rnacentral:rRNA from 1 species
UACGGAGGGGGCUAGCGUUGUUCGGAAAUACUGGGCGUAAAGCGCACGUAGGCGGCGCAGUAAGUCAGGGGUGAAAUCCCGGGGCUCAACCCCGGAACUGCCCUUGAAACUGCAGUGCUAGAAUUCUGGAGAGGCGAGUGGAAUUCCGAGUGUAGAGGUGAAAUUCGUAGAUAUUCGGAAGAACACCAGUGGCGAAGGCGACUCGCUGGACAGACAUUGACGCUGAGGUGCGAAAGCGUGGGGAGCAAACAGGAUUAGAUACCCCUGUAGU